UACGAAGGGUGCAAACGUUGCUCGGAAUUAUUGGGCGUAAGCGCACGUAGGCGGCAUAGCAAGUCGAAUGUGAAAUCCCUCGGCUUAACCAAGGAAGUGCAUCCGAAACUGCUGUGCUUGAGUACGAAAGAGGAUCGCGGAAUUCCCGGUGUAGAGGUGAAAUUCGUAGAUAUCGGGAGGAACACCAGUGGCGAAAGGCGGCUCA
rnacentral:rRNA from 1 species